AGAGCCUACCAUGGUGGUAACGGGUAACGGGGUGUUAGGGCACGACACCGGAGAGGGAGCCUGAGAAACGGCUACCACAUCCAAGGAUGGCAGCAGGCGCGCAAAUUACCCAAUCCCGACACGGGGAGGUAGUGGCAAUAAAUAACAAUACGGGGUUCUUUAGGAUCUCGUAAUUGGAAUGAGUACAAUUUAAAUCUCUUAACGAGGAACAAUUGGAGGGCAAGUCUGGUGCCAGCAGCCGCGGUAAUUCCAGCUCCAAUAGCGUAUAUUAAAGUUGUUGCAGUUAAGAAGCUCGUAGUUGAAUUUCGAGAUCAAUUUGUCGGUCGUGCCUCGGUACGUACUGGCAUUAUUGAUUUCUCCCUUCUGAAGAACCGCGAUGUCAUUAAUUUGGUGUCGUGGGGAAUCAGGACCGUUACUUUGAAAAAAUUAGAGUGUUUAAAGCAGGCGCACGCUUGAAUACAUUAGCAUGGAAUAAUGAAAUAGGACGUUUGAUUCUAUUUUGUUGGUUUCUAGGAUCGACGUAAUGAUUAAUAGGGAUAGUUGGGGGCAUUAGUAUUCAAUUGUCAGAGGUGAAAUUCUUGGAUUUAUUGAAGACUAACUACUGCGAAAGCAUUUGCCAAGGAUGUUUUCAUUAAUCAAGAACGAAAGUUAGGGGAUCGAAGACGAUCAGAUACCGUCGUAGUCUUAACCAUAAACUAUGCCGACUAGGAAUCAGACGAUGUUAAUUUUUUAAUGACUCGUUUGGCACCUUACGGGAAA
rnacentral:rRNA from 1 species